rnacentral:pre_miRNA from 1 species
CUCGUGAAAUUCAGUUUGAUGUGUAGAUUUAAGAUAUCUUAUCUGUCAUAUUAUGCUGAAUUUUUCGAUUU